GACGAACGCUGGCGGCGUGCUUAACACAUGCAAGUCGAACGGAAAGGCCCUGCUUUUGUGGGGUUCUCGAGUGGCGAACGUGUGAGUAACACGUGAGUAACCUUCCCUUGACUUUUGGAUAACUUCAGGAAACUUGUGCUAAUACCGUAUAUGAGCUCCUGCUGCAUGGUGUUGGUUGGUAAGUUUCGGCGGUUGGGGAUGGACUCGCGGGUUAUCAGCUUGUUGGUGGGGUAGUGGCUUACCAAGGCUUUGACGGGUAGCCGGCAUGAGAGGGUGACCGGCAACAAUGGGACUGAGAGACGGAACAGACUAGUACGGGAGGCAGCAGUGGGGAAUAUUGAAAAAUGGGAGGAAGCAUGAUGAAGAAACGCAGCGUGCGGGAUGAAGGCAUUCGGGUUGUAAAAAGAUGUAGAAUGUGACGAAGAGUGAGUGACGGUAAUGGGUAAAGAAGCACCGGCUAACUACGUG
rnacentral:rRNA from 1 species